rnacentral:rRNA from 1 species
CCGAGUUAUACAACUCAUCAACCCUGUGAACAUACCUAUAACGUUGCCUCGGCGGGAACAGACGGCCCCGUAACACGGGCCGCCCCCGCCAGAGGACCCCCUAACUCUGUUUCUAUAAUGUUUCUUCUGAGUAAACAAGCAAAUAAAUUAAAACUUUCAACAACGGAUCUCUUGGCUCUGGCAUCGAUGAAGAACGCAGCGAAAUGCGAUAAGUAAUGUGAAUUGCAGAAUUCAGUGAAUCAUCGAAUCUUUGAACGCACAUUGCGCCCGCCAGUAUUCUGGCGGGCAUGCCUGUUCGAGCGUCAUUACAACCCUCAGGCCCCCGGGCCUGGCGUUGGGGAUCGGCGGAAGCCCCCUGCGGGCACGACGCCGUCCCCCAAAUACAGUGGCGGUCCCGCCGCAGCUUCCAUUGCGUAGUAGCUAACACCUCGCAACUGGAGAGCGGCGCGGCCACGCCGUAAAACACCCAACUUCUGAAUUUGCCCCAGUAACGGCGAGUGAAGCGGCAACAGCUCAAAUUUGAAAUCUGGCUCUCGGGCCCGAGUUGUAAUUUGUAGAGGAUGCUUUUGGUGAGGUGCCUUCCGAGUUCCCUGGAACGGGACGCCAUAGAGGGUGAGAGCCCCGUCUGGUUGGACACCGAUCCUCUGUAAAGCUCCUUCGACGAGUCGAGUAGUUUGGGAAUGCUGCUCUAAAUGGGAGGUAUAUGUCUUCUAAAGCUAAAUACCGGCCAGAGACCGAUAGCGCACAAGUAGAGUGAUCGAAAGAUGAAAAGAACUUUGAAAAGAGAGUUAAAAAGUACGUGAAAUUGUUGAAAGGGAAGCGCUUGUGACCAGACUUGGGCUUGGUUGAUCAUCCGGGGUUCUCCCCGGUGCACUCUUCCGGCUCAGGCCAGCAUCAGUUCGCCCUGGGGGAUAAAGGCUUCGGGAAUGUGGCUCUCUCCGGGGAGUGUUAU